rnacentral:rRNA from 1 species
UACGUAGGGUGCGAGCGUUGUCCGGAAUAUUGGGCGUAAAGGGCUCGUAGGCGGUUUGUCGCGUCGGGAGUGAAAUCCACUGGCUUAACUGGUGGCUUGCUUUCGAUACGGGCAGACUGGAGGUAUGCAGGGGAGAACGGAAUUCCUGGUGUAGCGGUGAAAUGCGCAGAUAUCAGGAGGAACACCCGGUGGCGAAGGCGGUUCUCUGGGCAUGUCCUGACGCUGAGGAGCGAAAGUGUGGGGAGCGAACAGG